rnacentral:rRNA from 1 species
AAUAAGCGGAGGAAAAGAAACUAACAAGGAUUCCCCUAGUAACUGCGAGUGAAGCGGGAAAAGCUCAAAUUUAAAAUCUGGCAGUUUAAUAGCUGUCCGAGUUGUAGUCUGGAGAAGUGCUUUCCGUGCUAGACCGUGUACAAGUCCCUUGGAACAGGGCGUCAUAGAGGGUGAGAAUCCCGUCUUUGACACGGACUACUAGUGCUUUGUGAUGCGCUCUCAAAGAGUCGAGUUGUUUGGGAAUGCAGCUCAAAAUGGGUGGUAAAUUCCAUCUAAAGCUAAAUACAGGCGAGAGACCGAUAGCGAACAAGUACCGUGAGGGAAAGAUGAAAAGCACUUUGGAAAGAGAGUUAAACAGUACGUGAAAUUGCUGAAAGGGAAACGCUUGAAGUCAGUCGCGUUGUCCGGAAAUCAGCCUUGCAUUUAUUUGCUUGGUGUAUUUUCUGGUUGACGGGCCAGCAUCGAUUUUAAUCGUUGGAUAAAGGCGAGGGAAAUGUGGCACCUUCGGGUGUGUUAUAGUCCCUUGUCACAUACAACGGUCGGGAUCGAGGAACUCAGCACGCCUUUAUUGGUCGGGGUUCGCCCACGUUUCGUGCUUAGGAUGUUGGCAUAAUGGCUUUAAACGACCCGUCUUGAAACACGGACCAAGGAGUCUAACAUACCUGCGAGUGUUUGGGUGGUAAACCCGAGCGCGUAAUUAAAGUAAUAGUUGAGAUCCCCGUUACAAGGGAGCAUCGACGCCCGGACUUGACCUUCUGUGAUAGCUCUGCGGUAGAGCAUGUAUGUUGGGACCCGAAAGAUGGUGAACUAUGCCUGAAUAGGGUGAAGCCAGAGGAAACUCUGGUGGAGGCUCGUAGCGAUUCUGACGUGCAAAUCGAUCGUCAAAUUUGGGUAUAGGGGCGAAAGACUAAUCGAACC